UUAGAGUUUGAUCCUGGCUCAGAACGAACGCUGGCGGCAGGCUUAACACAUGCAAGUCGAACGCCCCGCAAGGGGAGUGGCAGACGGGUGAGUAGCGCGUGGGAAUCUACCGUACCCUACGGAAUAACGCAUGGAAACGUGUGCUAAUACCGUAUACGCCCUUCGGGGGAAAGAUUUAUCGGGGUAUGAUGAGCCCGCGUUGGAUUAGCUAGUUGGUGGGGUAAAGGCCUACCAAGGCGACGAUCCAUAGCUGGUCUGAGAGGAUGAUCAGCCACAUUGGGACUGAGACACGGCCCAAACUCCUACGGGAGGCAGCAGUGGGGAAUAUUGGACAAUGGGCGCAAGCCUGAUCCAGCCAUGCCGCGUGAGUGAUGAAGGUCUUAGGAUUGUAAAGCUCUUUCACCGAUGAAGAUAAUGACGGUAGUCGGAGAAGAAGCCCCGGCUAACUUCGUGCCAGCAGCCGCGGUAAUACGAAGGGGGCUAGCGUUGUUCGGAAUUACUGGGCGUAAAGCGCACGUAGGCGGAUAUUUAAGUCAGGGGUGAAAUCCCGCAGCUCAACUGCGGAACUGCCUUUGAUACUGGGUAUCUCGAGUAUGGAAGAGGUGAGUGGAAUUCCGAGUGUAGAGGUGAAAUUCGUAGAUAUUCGGAGGAACACCAGUGGCGAAGGCGGCUCACUGGUCCAUUACUGACGCUGAGGUGC
rnacentral:rRNA from 1 species